AGAACGUGAUGGGAAGCGGCGCGCUUCCCGUGUAUGAUUGAACCCGCAUGGCUCCCGGUUCCGUUCGGGGAAGCGCUGAGGGUUCAUUUUUAU
rnacentral:sRNA from 1 species